UAAUGAGGAACUAUAAAUUUACUUCUGAAAUGAGUAAUACCUUCCUUAAGGUAAGCAUACAUGUGUGGACCAAUGGAGUCAUGAAUUUGAAUUGCUCAAACAAUCUCUUUUUGCAAUAAAAAAAAAUCUUUCCCCCUUCCUUUUCCUCUCUCCAACCCCUCCAAUACCUUCUCUUCUCAAAUUAAUGGCUUCAUUUUCUUUAAUUUUCAAUGUGUCAUAUAUAAAAUAAAUAUGAGUCUAACCUGCUGAAUCUGUUUUGGUGUUGCCUGUAUGUAUGUGAUUUCAGAGCACCAAUGGGGGUGCUCAUCUUUGGGGAAAGCUAAUGCUUCCUCUCUCAUCAGUCACUUUUCAUCCAUAGCUCAUUUUCUAGAGGUGGAGCCCCAUUAAGUUUCCCUUUCCAUGUUGGUGUGUCUAAUGGUGAUGUAACUGUUCAGGUCUUUAGGCGGCCAUAUUGUUUGGGUAUCAUGGAUGAAACUUCACAGACUUCCUGUCUCUCUCUUCCAAUAUGUUUCCCAAGCUUAGGUGUGGGGGUUUGUGUAGUAAAUGUGUCAUUUGGGGCAGGGCAUCUCACCAUCAAUUAUUUUCUGCAUUUUGACCAAGUGUGCCUUUAUAUAAUGCUCUCCAUUUUCUGGGGGAGGGGGAGAAGGAGCUUCUUUGAUGUGGGGUGACAGGAGAAAUGCCUAUCCUUAUUUGUGAGAAUAAGAGUAAAUAUUUAGACUAGUUAGGAAUUAUAUUAGUCUAGUAACGUGGUAGGUGGUAGUAGUAGGUCCUCUGCUAAGAACCAUAGUCUCACUAGCCUGGAAUAAUACCUGAGAGACAUAGAAAAAUACACAGUUGUGAUACGAUGUUUGUCAACAAGCAAAAUUAAAAUUUAGCUCAAACAGACUUAGUUGGUUCUUAUGUAUGAUUCAUAAACCUGGGAAGCUUCUGUUGCAUGGUAGUUGGUAUUAUCAAAGCAGUGUUAAGGCUGAGUUACUGCUGUCCUCCCCAAUUUAUAUUUAUUUAUUUAUUUAGUCAUUUACAGCCUGAUCCCAGCCCCUUCACUCCUAUCCUCCCUCAAAUCCCUCUCCCCCAGUCCCUGUUUCUUCUUCUUCUCAUAGAAGGGGAGGCUCCCAAGGGGUACCAACCCACCCUGGCACUCCAAGUCCCAUAGGACUCAGUGCACCCUCUCCUACUUAGGCCAGACAAGGCAGCCCAUUUUGUGGAAAGAAAUCCAAAGGCAGGAAACAGAGUCAUAAACAGCCCAUACUCCUAUUUUUAGGGAACCCAUAUGUUGACCAAGUAGCACAUCUACACAUGUGCAAGGAGUCUAGGUCCAGCCUAUGCAUGUCCUUUGGUUGGUGGUUCAGACUCCAUGAGCCCCCAUGGGCCCAGGUUGGUUUACUCUGUAGGUCUUCUUGUGGUGUUCUUGACCCCUGCGGCUCCCUCAAUCUUUCCUCCUAUUUUUUUUCCACAAGACUCUCAGAGAUCAGCCUAUUGUUUGGCAGUGGUUGGUGGUUUCCAUCAACUGCUGGAAGAAGACUCUCAGAAGACAGUUAUGCUAGGCUCCUGUAUGCAAGCAUGGCAGAGUGUCCUUAGUAGAGUCAGUGGUUGGCUUUCUCCCAUGGGGUGGGUCUUAAGUUGGGCCAGUCAUUGAUUUGGCAUUCCCCCAAUCUCUGCUCCAUUUGUAUUCCUACACUUCUUGUAGGCAAGGCAAAUUUGGGGUUGAAGGUUUUAUAGAUGGAUUGGUGUCCCCCCUCCUUCCACUCUAAGCCCCACCUGGCUAUAGAAGGUGGCCAUUUCAGACUCCAUAUAGGAGUCUCAGCUAGGGUUGCCCCCACAGACUCCUAGGAACCUCCCCUUUCCCAAAGCUGCUUUCCCCUACUGAUUUCCAUCCUCUUUCCUGGCCCCCCACUUGUACCCCAGCUCUGCGCACACCUGAUCUCCACCCCCUCUCCCACCCAGUUCCCUGCCUCCAUCUACUUCAGAUGUCUAUUUUAUUUCCCCUCUGAGUGAGAUUCAAGCAUCUUCCCUUGGGUCCUCCUUGGCUUCUUUGGGUCUGUGGAUUGUAGCACUGGUUAUCUUGUACUCUGUGGCUAAUAUCCAAUUAUAAAUGAAUACAUACCAUGCGUGCCUUUCUGGGUUGCCUCACUGAAAGAAAUGAAUAAAACUGUUCAAGACCUGAAAACAGAAGUAAAAGCAGUAGGGAAAACACAAACUAAGGGAAUCCUGGAGAGAGAAAAGCUAGGGAUAUAUCACUUUUCAGCAUAUACCCAAAGGAUACUCCAUCCUACCACAGAGACACUUGCUCAGCUAUUUUUAUAGCAGCUUUAGGCAUAAGAGCCAGAAACUGGAAACAAUCACAAUGUCCCUCAACAGAGGAAUGGUUAAACAACGUGUGGCACAUUUACACAGUGUAUUACUUGACUUUCAAAAAAAAUAACAUCAUGAAAUUUGCAGGCAAAUGGAUAGAACUAGAAAAAACAAUCAUCCUGAGUAAGGUAACACAGACCCAGAAAGACAAACUUGGUAUGUAUUUAUAAGUGGAUAUAAGCUAUAAAAUAAAGGAUAACCAUACUACAAUCCACAGACCCAGAGAAUCUAAGUAAACAGGGUCGGGAGAGGGGAAUAAAUUUUCCUGGGAAGGAGAACUAGAAUAGUUAUUGUAGGUGGACUAGGCAGAGGUAAGGAUGUGGGGGAAGAUGGAAGGAGAGAGUACUGGGAAAGACUAGUGGAGCUGGGGAAUAUUUCAGGGGCAGGUUAGAACCCUAGUGUAAUGGAAACUCCCAAGGAAUCUAAUAGGGUGACCCUAGCUAAGACUCCUAGUAAUGGAGGACACAGAGCCUGAACAAGUCAUCUCCUGUGACCAGACAAGUCUUCCAGUGGAGGAACUUGGACACAAACCAUGCCACAAAACCUUCGACCUAUAAUUUGUACUGACUACAAGGUGUGCUAUAAUAAAGGUAGUGCAGAAAUAGUGAGAGUAGCCAACCAAUGACUGUCCAUCUUGAUACUCAUGCCAUGAGAGGGAGGCCACCCCUUGACACUGCAUUGAGUGCCAGAAACCAGAGCCUGGAUAUCCCAGAGACCUAGGGUAGAGCCUACAAACAUAACAGGAAAAGAAAAAAGGAAAUGAUUCCUAGCAAUAUUCUGCUACACUACUUGUAGACGGGAGCCUAGAAUAAUCAUCACCAGAGAGGCUUCAUCCAGCAACUGAUGGGAACAGAUGCAGAGACCCAGAGCUUUCUCAGGCAGGGCUCUGGCCACUUCUGCCUUGAGAGGUUAUAAAGUUUACAAAGUAUACAAAAUAUACAGAGUCCACAGCAGGGAAGCCUUUCUCCGCAGCAUGAAUAGCUGAAAGAGCCUGGAGCAGAGGUGCUGCCAUUGUGGCAGCUCUAGUGAAGGCAGCAGGCUGAAGCAGGAAAGGUUAUCAUCAUGGACAGCUCCUGCGGAGCUCCUGAUUCCAGAGCCCCAGGGCAGGAAGGAGGGGCUGGCAGCUUUAGUGGCCAGCUGCUCAAGAGCUAAAGGUGUUGUGGCUGGAGAACCAGCAAGCCACCAUGGCUGCUAUGACUGGGGUGAACAGUGGGGCCCUCUGAUUCUUUGCUGUCAAGGCAGCAGGCCGCCUGGUUGCUGUGAUUGGUGCUGCCAUGACAGAGGGACUACACGAAGAGCCUACAAUAUCUCCAGUCAUGAUCACUGCCCUGCCGUAACAUGAAAACCCUUGAAAUGGACACUUAAGCUGACUUCCACGCAUUUCCCCAGUUCCUGUUUUAGGGCUGCUGCCCCAGGACAGCACAUGGACCUAGCCAUGUCUGACCAGUCUUCAUCAAUGAAAGGAAAGCUUUAUCCAAUGGCAGACACUCAUGUGACAGCCCCACUGCUCAGUGCUCAUUGCCAUGGUCACUCUAACACCCUACAGCCUUGUUGAUUCUCCUCUUGCCUGGGAGCUGCCACCCAGCAGGCCAUGAAGUCAGGAGGGGCAAGCGAGCCUGGAAUGGCAGGAGAGAACCAUACAGCAGCUGAUGGCUAGUUCAACUUUAAUUCCAGAGAACAAAGGUUAUAUGACCUUAGGGGAAUGGGGGAGGUUCCAAAAUUAGGUGUACAUAAUUGGUUAGAACUAGGCAGUGCAAGGAUGCUUGAUUUGCAUUAUACAGCAGUUUCCUAUCAUAGGAAUAGAGUCUCAGUACCUAAUUAACAUAUAGACACAGGGAGGGGAAAGUUAGUAGGGCACUUUGUCUAGUCCACACAUCAAGUGGGGAGUCUGUGUCUAAAGACACUCUCCAGAUGAAGUCAAGCAGAGAGCAGGGGACAGCGCCAAGGGGAGGGAGUUCUGUCUUGGUCCGGGCAAGAACUGCAACCUCAACCAGCAGGGUACCUCAAAUAGAGUGUGAGCCCAUUUCUCUGGUUGGUGAGUCUGGAACAGAGGGAUAGUAUGUGUACUUCACAAUGGGCAUUCUGUCAUGGAAUGAGGUGAGGGCUGACCUGUGACUUAACUGCCCACAGCAGGUCUGGUCAAGCUCAGUCACUGACUGCUAUUAGGAAAGUGAGGACUCUGCAGGGUUCUGGGAAGAUGGGAAGAAAGCAGCCAAGAAUUUUGGGAAGUCUUCGUAAUCCUCUUCCCCCUCAGACUUCUCCGCCUUCUCUGUGUCCAAAUGGCACUCACCUCUUCCCAUCUCAGUCAUUAUCCCCUCAGCCCUCUUCUCCUACCAACCCUCUCUCUGUUUUCUAUCCUACCUCUUUUCCUCCUCUGAAGAACACUUCCUACUUCCCCACCUUAAUGGUUGCUAUGCCCAGUUCCUCCUGUAUAGACAAACUCUGCUCUAAGUCCCCUUCUUUUUUAACUCCUAAUUCCUGUUGCUCUACCCUCAUGACCACCUCUGCUCAAGCAACAUCACUGGAUAGUUGCCUAGACUCUCUUUCCCACCAGGAAGCUAAAUACCUUCGGACAGCCUGGGUAAGUAAAAAACCUCAAACAAGAAACCUCAAACCCUCUUGCAGAGGGUUUACUUCAGAAAUGCUAUGAUUGUUUUCCUAGCCACCUAUUGUGGUGAACACAGGAAAAGCAGGCUGAUGGAGCCAACAGAUAGUCUGGAUCUCAUUAUCCCUGGGUUUCUAGCCUCUCCUCUCCUCCCCUCUCAUCUCCUCUGUUCUCCUCUCCUCACUGAAUCUGGCUGUACCUGAAAAGCAGCCUAGAGAUUUUAGAGAAAUGAGUGCCCUAAGAAGGUAUUCACAGUCACCAGAAAGCCUUUAUUUGUGGUUUCUGAAUGUACUUCAGCAUAUCUUUCAGGGACUGAGGAAGAAUUCUCCAGACAAGGACCCUGAAAUUGGUGGAAACAGAUGUGACCUCACACCCUUGGUAAGCGUGGCUUAGUGAGCACCAGGAAGCUCAGCAGCGCUGCAGGUGACAACUGGGCAGAACAGGAGCUAGCCUGGCCCGAGUCUGGACUUUGGGUUUGGUUUAGGAAUAGAGAAUAUUCUUAAGUUGUUUUAUGAUUCAGCUUUCUUACCAUGAAAUGGAGGUACUGUGAAGUAAAUCCUUUUUCACAGUGGCCAGGAAUGUAAGAAUAAGUGCUAGCAAUUGUGAGAGGACAUGAGUAAGUGCUUAGAAGAGUUUACAGGAGAGAAAAGGAAGACAGGCAAUGAGGGAGUAAGUAUUAAAUUAGGGCACUUGAUGCACACACACAAUACAUCACACACAGGUUACAGAGACAAGCUUUACUGUCACAUAAGUUAAUUAUGUAAAACUUUCAAUUAGAACGACAUUUUGCAGUUAUGCUAUGUUGUCUCAAGAGGAAUGUAAUGCUACAUGUAGUGUAUCAGGAUUAUAAAUCUAAGGCAACCUGAAAAAAGUUUACAAAGGAGGCAUAAUUGCUAGGGGAGAAAAAUGCUUCAUAUCAAACACUCGCAUAGAUCUGGGAAACAGCCUCUGUUGACAAGAGCUCUUCACAUCAUAGGAACAAAACGGUAAACAGUGUCAUAGAUGGCAGACAAGAAUCCAAAAAUUACAUGACAUAUUUAUAUUCAUCAGUCAAAUGACUGAAAUGGCCUCCUGGAACAAAAAAAAAAAUAAGACAUUUAUUGCUUAUCCAUGGGAAAACCUGUUUGAUUAGAGACACAUUUAUGUUUAAAAUAAAAGGCUGGUGCCUUCUGAGAAGCCUGUCCUCCUGGGUUGGUCCACAAAUUCCUCCUGCUUGACAAGAAGGAAGAAGCAUUUCUUCUAAAUUGCCACAUACCACAAGUGCUGUAAAUGGAGUGAGUGGCCCUUGCAAGAUGUGCUCACAUGGCACUGACUCUUUUCCUAGCCUGGUUCAGGAAAGCUCCCGAGGUCCCAGCAAGCUGCCUCUGUCCCAUGGCUUGCUCUUGCCAUCUGAAGGAAAGAUGCCUGUGUUGUCACAGAAGCGCACAUGAAUGGUACAGCUCUAUUCCUUUAUUUGCUACGUGCCAACUAGACGUAGGUGCCCGUUGCCUGGUUGCUCAGGCUGAGGCACUGGGCCAAGAGGGAGACACAAUGGUGCUUUACAGUGCCUGUCAGUCCCGACAGGAAGAGGUGACCUGGGAGGGGCUGCCUCAGCUGGGCCGGUACACACAAGGCCACUCUCUGCUUUUACUGCAGAGCCUUCUGAAAAGAUAAAAGGGCUUCUAGCAUUUUUCGUAUUAAAUUCAAUUUCCCACUUCCAUUCUUUCUCUCUGUACUUAUUCUACCUGCCUUUACCCCUGUCCUGUUCGGUCAGCUCGGGAGCCUGCAGCCUGCUCCUCAGCCUAUCCUGUCCUUUCUGUUUUCUGUCCUUCCCCCCCACCCCCACUCUGAUCCACACUUUCCCCAUUAUCCCACCAUACCUUCAUGCCUGGCUCUUCUCUUUUCCAGACUUUUCUCUGAGCACCCUGUUCAAAUUGUCCCCUUCACAACUGGACCCAACUUCUCCUAACAUUUCAGUUCAAGGUCCCCUAUUCUCUUAUCCCCAGCACAAAGCCAGCUGCCCUCCAUCAAAAUGAAAGAGUCACUCUUCCUCCAUGGGAAGGUUUACCUGCCACACCUGCAGUUCAGUGGUGCCAGAGCUGUGCUUUCCAAACAGACUGACCUGGUGUCCAUGGGGGGGAAGGUGACAUAGUUGGCAUGCUGCCUGGAGAAUCACCUUACCUAAUGAAUCCAUUUCCUCAGUGGCCUCUUCUCUCUAUCUGGACAUUCCUGAAAAACAUCCCAGAGAUAGGAGUGGAACUAGAGCCCUAAAGAUUUUACUGCCACCUGUCAGGAUAGUGGUCUAGCUCUUCCCUGAUAAACUGAGUGGUUUAGAACUGGCCAUGAAUCUCAUUCACUGUUUCCUCAGGUACCAGGGAAGAAGCAGCCAGAGGCACAGACUAGGAACCGUGAAGUGAAAAAUGCUCAAGUCAUGGUUAAGCUUAGCUCCAUCACUGAGGAAAACCUGACAGAAUCUCAAGAUUCCUAAGUAACUCCAGGACUAAAAAUGAUGCUAUUGCCUACACCAAGCUUAAAUAUGACACCCAGGACAAGGUGGUCAUCGGAAGUGGCAUGCGUUUUGUAUAGCCAUCCCAUGUAUAAAAUGAAGUGGAUACUAACUGAAUCAAUUUUAGAAUAAAGAUUUUUAAACAAGAUGAGUGUCCAGCCCAGUUGUCAUCAGGAGGCUUCACCUAGAAGAUGGAAAGAGAUGUCAAGAUCCACAGCCAAACAUUAGGAAAAAUUGGCCUGGUGUAUAGAAGAAGAAAUGGUGCAGGCGGAGGAAUCACCGACCUUCCGGCACAGCUCACAACAGCGCUCCAUACCACAGGAAGCACAGCAGUGUCCGCUUCAACAACAACAUGGCUCAGACCCUCUGCAUGCCCCAUGUGAAAGCUGCACUCCUGCAGCUCAGAAAGUGUCCAUACAUGCUGCAUACCUGCUCGCUAUCAUGAGCAUGAAACAACUGUGGGCAGUGGUAAAAUACUCAAUUCACAGAUAGAGCAAAGGACUCACUUAAGAUAUAGCAAGAAUCUUGAGCGAAAAGUGGAGGAACAAACAACUCAGUUGGUAACAGGCAAAGCAAGGCACAGACAUUUUUUUCAGGAGACAUAAUUUCACAUACACACAGCUCUGGUUUACUUAGACAUGGGUUUGAUCACUCUCUGGAAGCCAAGAAACCUAAGAGUGUAUCCUAUAGUUCUAAACAUUCUGGUAUCACUUUGAAUUGUUUUAUUUUGUUUUUAAAAAUAUUGCAUAGAUAGUAAACAUUUAUACUUUCAUUGUUUUAAUCACUUCUUUUUGUUUUUUGUCUCUUCUUGGGCAUAAGAAUAAACAUAUGUAAAGAUCCUU